rnacentral:rRNA from 1 species
AAUGAACGUUGGCGGCGUGGAUUAGGCAUGCAAGUCGAGCGAGAACCCCGCAAGGGGGGCCAGCGGCGCAAGGGACAGUAAUGUGUAGAUUAUCUGCCCUCAGGUCCGGGAUAGCUGCGGGAAACUGCAGGUAAUACCGGAUAACAUCUCCGGAUCAAAGGUGUGAUUCCGCCUGAGGAUGAGUCUGCAUCCUAUUAGCUAGUUGGUGGGGUAAUGGCCUACCAAGGCAUUGAUGGGUAGCAGGUGUGAGAGCACGACCUGCGUCAUUGGGACUGAGACACUGCCCAGACACCUACGGGUGGCUGCAGUCGAGAAUCGUCGGCAAUGGGCGCAAGCCUGACCGAGCGACGCCGCGUGUGGGAUGAAGGCCUUCGGGUUGUAAACCACUGUCAGAGGGGAUGAAAUGCAGGUGGGUUCUCCCAUCUGUUUGACAUAGCCUCAGAGGAAGGACGGGCUAAGUUCGUG